GCACGAGCGCCGUGAGAUCAAAGUGCAGCAGCGGCCAAUACGGCGAGGCGCAGCGACUGCACGGGCUCCGCGAGGUCCAGGGGCGGAAGCAGCCAAUACGGCGAGCGGUGCCUGUCCGGCGACCAUACGGCCUCCGCGGCGUGCUCGACCUUGCUCCUACGCCUCCUACCCGGGCUGGACCUCCCCCCGUGCGUCGUCCCCACCCGCAUCACCAAGCUCCCCAACGGCGUCCGCGACUCGGCGUCGCCUCCGAGGAUUUCCAGGGAGCAGCACAGGGAUGGCAAUUUUGGCAGCUCUGCUCUGAUGAUGCCGUCAGAGCACAGCUUGCUCGUUUUCAGCAUGAGGAAGAAGAUGAUUUGACAGGGAGCAGCACAGCUUGCUUGUUUUGUUUCUCUGUAGCAAGUUAUUCUAUAAAUACUGAACACUAUGCAAGGAAAUCAGCAGCUGCCAUUGUUCAAGAAUGUACUAAUUCUCUGAACAUUGUUUUGUUUUUCUGUAGCAAAUUAUUUCUAUGAAUUCUGAACAUUUGCAAAGAAAUCAGUAGCUUUCAUUGUUAAGAGAAUGAGCUAAUUCUCUGAAUUUUUUUUUUGUUUUUAGCAUGAGGAAGAAGAUGAUUUGACAGGGAGCAGCACAGCUUGCUUGUUUUGUUUCUCUGUAGCAAGUUAUUCUAUAAAUACUGAACACUAUGCAAGGAAAUCAGCAGAUGCCAUUGUUAAAGAAUGUACUAAUUCUCUGAACAUUGUUUUGUUUUUCUGUAGCAAAUUAUUGUAUGAAUUCUGAACAUUUGCAAAGAAACUGUUGCUCCUUUGGAUCGAUGCCGGAGGCGGGACUGACUGACUCACCGCUGUUUCUUCAUCCGCAACACGUUCAGAUUAACACCGAGGCUCCCUGCCGUUCACAGCGUCUUCCCAAGUACAAUACUACAACCAGGCAAGUAGCUCUUCUUGUAUGUGGUGGUGAAGCAAUGCCGGCUCCUUUUUUGGCCAAAACCUUCUUGCAAAUGAUUUAAUAAAUUAUUUAAUCCCAUGGUUCAUUAUUCCGUUAAGUGUAAUAUGUCCAUUCAAGCAUUAUCUUGUUCAUGCUUUGUUUCAGCAGCGUUUUGUUUGUUUAAAAAAAGUCACACUAACAGUUUUUUCUUUUUCUAAUUGGAACAACUUCUGAGGAUCGAGGAGGAGCUGGGCGACGCUGCGGUGUACGCUGGCCUCAAGUUCGCCUGACUUCCGUCAAAGUGUAAUCAUGUUGUACACAGUACACUGUUCUCCAUCGGCGUCGACUCCCAAGCAGCAGCUGGCAUGACGAGCACUGCACAAGGUCCCUGCUGCCUGCUGACUGUCAAUGGCUCCCUUCCCUGCUGCAGGUCGUAGUUGAAAUAGACCCACAAGACAGAACUCAGCUCCGGAUUAGUCCUUCCGAAGCUGAGUUAUUUUACAUCAGUUUACCCCCUUUUAGCAGCUGCCAUUAUUUUCGGUACUCCUUUCGAGCAUUGUUCAAAGAAAUCAGCAGCUGCCAUUAUUUUACAUCAGUUUACCCCCUUUCAGCAGCUACCAUUAUUUUCUGGAGGAGAAAUUCAUUCUCAGAUCACAAGAACCACAGAACAGCAAGGGUGAUAUUCAGGUUGACAUAUUUUCAUAGACAAUCUAACCUGUACAGGGAUGAGUAAGAGAUGAAAAACUUCAAUUGAA